GAUGAACGCUGGCGGCGUGCCUAAUACAUGCAAGUCGAGCGAAUUGAUUAGAAGCUUGCUUCUAUGACGUUAGCGGCGGACGGGUGAGUGACACGUGGGCAACCUGCCUGUAAGACUGGGAUAACUUCGGGAAACCGAAGCUAAUACCGGAUAGGAUCUUCUCCCUCAUGGGAGAUGAUUGAAAGAUGGUUUCGGCUAUCACUUACAGAUGGGCCCGCGGUGCAUUAGCUAGUUGGUGAGGUAACGGCUCACCAAGGCAACGAUGCAUAGCCGACCUGGGAGGGUGAUCGGCCACACUGGGACUGAGACACGGCCCAGACUCCUACGGGAGGCAGCAGUAGGGAAUCUUCCGCAAUGGACGAAAGUCUGACGGAGCAACGCCGCGUGAGUGAUGAAGGCUUUCGGGUCGUAGAACUCUGUUGUUAGGGAAGAAUAAGUACGAGAGUAACUGCUCGUACCUUGACGGUACCUAACCAGAAAGCCACGGCUAACUACGUGCCAGCCGCCGCAGUAACAC
rnacentral:rRNA from 1 species